AUAAAUUAUAUUUAUACAUUAUAAUCUUUUCCUCUUCGGCCACAGUUUUUUCUCUCUCUAAAAAAACCACAUUUCUCUCACUCGUCUAGGUCGUAAAAUUUACGAAGAUCGGAGAAUUGACCCGGUGCCCUUGGAAUUGAGUUAAGGAGGUUAGGUAUCUGACGAUAUUAGCGCGAUCGAGGACUUUGCGUUUUGUGAAUUUGGGAUUUCUAGGGUUGUUUGGGGCUUGGAGAAAAAUUGGGGAUUUUUCUAGGGUUUUGGUGGAAUAGAUUGAUAUUGUUGUCAAUUGUCUGGGGAUUGAAUUGGAUUGAAUAAUUGAUGUUUGAGGCUGGACUGGCUAGAAAAGGUGCUGAAAUAAUUGGGGAAGAUGCCAGUCGAUUUGUAUUAUGCAUGGGAAGGGACAAAGGGAAGGUGAACUUUGUCGACGCUCGACUUGUGGUCAGCACAUGCCGGUUACGACCACGACGACUGUAGCCGUCGGUGAUUCUUCUGUUGUUUCCACUAUUACCGCUGAUUCGUUCUGCAAGGAUGGUCGCAAAGUUAGUGUGGGUGAUUGUGCUUUGUUCAAACCACCUCACGAUUCCCCUCCUUUCAUUGGAAUAAUCCGAAGGUUAAAGUUGAGUGAAGACAAUAACCUGCAGUUAGGUGUUAAUUGGCUUUAUCGACCUGCUGAGCUUAAGCUUGGCAAGGGCAUCCUUCCGGAAGCCGCACCCAACGAGAUCUUUUAUUCCUUUCAUAGGGAUGAGACACCUGCUGCAUCACUACUGCAUCCGUGUAAAGUUGCAUUCCUUUCUAAAGGUGCUGAACUUCCAACAGGGAUAUCCUCAUUUAUCUGCCGGCGUGUUUAUGAUAUUUCAAACGAGUGUUUAUGGUGGUUAACUGAUCAAGAUUACAUCAAAGAGCUACAAGAAGAACUAGGUCAACUAUUAAACAAGACGCGAGUAGAGAUGCAUACAACAGUGCAACCUGGUGGUCGUUCUCCUAAACCAAUGAAUGGUUCCAUGUCAGCAUCACAAUUGAAACCAGGUUCAGAUAAUGUACAAAGCAGUGUAUCUUCUUUUCCUUCACACGUUAAGGGAAAGAAAAGGGAGCGGGGAGAUCAGGGGCCCGAGUCAAUUAAACGUGAACGUUCAAUCAAAACAGAUGAUAUAGAUUCUGGUCAAAUCAAAGCCGAAAGCAUAUUAAAAUCUGAAAUUUCUAAGAUUACGGAGAAAGGAGGGCUUAUAAACUCUGAAGGGGUUGAGAAGCUAGUUCACCUCAUGCAGCCAGAUAGAAAUGAGAAGAAAAUGGAUUUGAUCAGUCGUUCAAUGCUUGCAAGUGUUGUAGCUGCAACUGAAAAUUUUGACUGUCUUACUAGGUUUGUACAGUUAAGGGGUCUACCAGUGUUAGAUGAGUGGCUUCAAGAUGUUCAUAAGGGGCGGAUUGGUGAAUCUAGUAAUACAAAAGAUGGUGACAAAUCGGUUGAAGAAUUUCUAUUUGUUUUGCUUCGUGCUCUUGAUAAGCUUCCCGUGAACCUUCAAGCACUGCAGAUGUGCCAUAUUGGCAGGUCUGUCAAUCACUUGCGGCAGCAUAAAAACACAGAAAUACAGAGGAAAGCACGGAGUCUAGUUGACACGUGGAAGAAACGAGUUGAAGCUGAGAUGAACAUCAUUGAUGCCAAGUCCGGUUCAAAUCAGGCUGUCACGUGGCCUUCUAAAUCAAGGUUGCCUGAGGCUUCUCAUAAUAUUGCCAAAAAUCCUGGUGGUUCAAAUGAUGUGACAAAGAGUGCAGUUGCACAGCUUUCUGCAUCUAGAAUGGCCUCGAUAAAGACUUCACAAGGGGAGACUACUAUAAAGUCUGCGUCCUUGUCCCCAGGCUCAACAAAACCAGCAACAUCACUCGCAUUUGGAAAAGAGGGUCAGCCCAGAGUCUCGGUCGGUGGGUCUUGUGAUGUUCCUUUAGCUAGGGAAGACAAGAGCAGCAGUUCUAGCCAGUCUCACAACCACAGUCAGACGAUCUCGGGGAAAGAGGAUGGAAGGAGUUCAACUGCAGUGUCAAUGAACAGCAUCAAGAUCUCUACUGCUGGUUCUCGUCACCGGAAGUCAGUUAAUGGGUAUCCUGGAUCAUCAGUAUCUGGAAGCCAAAAGGAGAGUCCUGCAGGCAGAAGUUCGCAUAGGAAUUCUACUUCAGAAAAGUUGCCGCAGUCUGCAUUGGGUGGUGAGAAAGCUAUUGAUGUGCCAGUUCUCGAGGGGACUGGUCACAAACUGAUAGUUAAGAUAUCUAACAGGGGACGCAGUCCUGCACAGAGUGCCAGUGGAGGAUCAUAUGAGGACCCUACGAACAUGAGCAGCCGUGCUUCUUCUCCUGCGCUUUCUGAAAAGAGUGAUCAAUUUGACCGAACAUUAAAGGAAAAGACUGAUGCAUAUCAAUCAAAUUUUGAUGCAAAUGCUGAAUCAUGGCAGAGCAAUGAUUUCAAAGAUAUACUAACCGGUUCUGACGAUGGCAAUGGAUCACCAGCUGCUGUUCCAGAGGAGGAGCGAAGCAAGAUUGUUGAUGACAGCAGGAAAUCAGCGGAAGUUAGAGCUGCUUGUACAUCAGGGAUUGAACCGAAGUCUGGAAAGCUGCAUGAAGCUUCUUUUAGCCCCAUGAAUGCUUUGAUUGAGAGCUGUGUAAAAUAUUCAGAAUCAAACGUGCCUAUGUUGCUGGGCGAUGCUAUUGGAAUGAAUCUCCUUGCCAGUGUGGCUGCUGAAGAAAUGUCCAAGUCUAACAUGGUUUCACCUUUUGUUUCUCCACAAAGAAAUACCCCCGCUGCUGAAGAGGAUUGCACAGCUGAUGAUGUUAAGUCGAAGUCACCUGCUGGUGAUAUCUCUGCUGGUGACCGUAAAAAUGAUGAUGAUGGUAAUAGAGAGGAACUCGUUACUGCUCGUGCUUCAUGGUCCGAGGAUAAACUGCUUUCAUCCACGGGUGCUGCAAUGGAGUUACCUGGAGAUAGAAAGGUCUCCAUUUCACCCUCUCAAGAGACAAUGACAGGUGGAUGCAAUAAACAGUUCAACUCUCCCUGCUCUGAUUCACAGACAGCUGGAGAAACGUUGGAGAGCACUGAGAAGUCAGGUAAGGUGGAAAAGUAUGCUUCUUCACCUCAUAGUGUAUCUGAGAAGGCAAUUGAUGGUGAAUUAAGCCAACAAAUCCAUGAGGAAAUGGUGGUGUCCCGUGAGGUCAAAGUUGGUGCUCUAGAUGCUAAAUUAGGUGGAGAUGGUACUUCAGUAUUAGGAGACAAGGUCACUAAUAAAGUUGCAAGCUUGGAAGACCAGAAACCAGCAGAAUUUGAAAGUGAGAAUAAAAAUGGUGUGAACAGGGUGUUGAACAUUGCUAGUACUGAGAUGAAACCAUCUUCUGUUGUGGUAAAUUCUGAAAAGAUGGAGGGAAGUGACAAGGAAGAGCGCCUACCGACUGGUUCAAGUGGAGAUCCCACCACAGUCAGAGGUGGACGGUCUGAUGAAGCUAGUGUAGAUCUUGCUAAUCCGUCUGCAAAGGCAAAAUCCGAUCAAGGAAAUGUUGAAGCUUCAGUUGAGGAUAAAGCCCGUGUUCAAACCGACUUAACUACAAGAAAUCAGAAGGGUGAAGAUAGUGUUGAAAGGAAGGAUGUUGCUAUGCAGAACUCUGGCUUGUUACUUAAUCAGAAAGAUAGACUUGGAUUUUCAAAUGCAGAAGUACAGAAGCAUGGGGAAUGUAGAGAAUUGAACUUCUCUGCUGUUGAAGCAGAUAAAACAAAGGACUGUGGAUCUGCCAAUGUAGAGACUUCUUUUGUCUCUACUGCUGCUCCAGAGUCAACUUCAAAGGUGAAGUUUGACUUAAAUGAAGGUUUUAUUUCUGAUGAGGGGAAAUACGGGGAUCCAAUCAACCUUACAGGCCCUGGAUGUUUAUCAAAUGUCCAUAUUAUGAACCCAUUGCCUUUUGCUGUAUCCUCAGUUUCCUGUAGUUUGCCUGCCUCCAUUACUGUAGUUGCCGCCGCCAAAGGUCCGUUUGUUCCACCUGAGGAGCUAUUGAGGGUCAAAGGUGAGUUCGGAUGGAAAGGCUCUGCCGCCACAAGUGCAUUUCGCCCAGCUGAGCCCAGAAAAUCACUUGAUAUGCCAUUAAGUUCUGCAACCAUAUCUCAUACUGAAGCUUCUACCAGCAAGCACAGUCGCCCUCAAUUAGAUAUUGACCUGAAUGUACCAGAUGAAAGAACCUUCGACGACAUAAAUCUUCAAGAUUCUGCUCUAGAGUUGAUAUCUCCUUUGGACCAUAUUACUAAUCGUGCUUCAUUGAAGAACGAAGUGAUAGAUUCUCCUGCUGUUCGUUGUUCUGGAGGACUUGAUCUUGAUUUAAAUAGACUUGAUGAACCUGGUGAUGCAGGACAGUGCUCUGUGAGUAGCAGUUGUAGAUUGGACAGUGCUGCUUUUCCUUACAAAGCAUCAACGAUUGGUUUGCCAACUGGGGAUGUGAGAAGGGACUUUGAUUUAAAUAAUGGGCCUGGUGUUGAUGAGUCCAAUGCAGAACAGUCUCUAUUCCAUGAUAAUCACCAGGGAAACAUGCGUUCCCAACUACCUGCUUCUAACUUCAGACUGAACAAUCCAGAAAUGGGGAACCUUUCUUCUUGGUUUACCCCUGGGAGUACUUAUUCAACUGUGACACUUCCAUCAAUUUUACCUGAUCGUGUGGAGCAGCCGCCAUUCCCAAUGGUCACAACUGGUGCACAGCGAAUCUUGGGUCCUCCUGCUGGUUCUCCUUUCACCCAAGAUGUUUACCGGAGCUCGGUAUUGUCAUCAUCUCCUGCUGUGCCCUUCCAAUCCUCCCCUUUCCAGUAUCCUGUAUUUCCUUUUGAAACAAAUUUUGCACUUCCUUCUGCAUCAUUCUCAGUUGGAUCAACCUCUUUCGUUGAUUCUUCCUCUGGUGGAAGGAUUUAUACGCCAUCUGUAAAUUCACAGUUACUGGGUCCUGUUGGCACUGUGUCAUCCCAAUAUCCAAGGCCAUAUGUCGUCGGCCUUUCCGACAGUAACAGCAAUGGUACCAUGGACCACAAUAGAAAAUGGGGCAGGCAGGGCCUGGAUCUUAAUGCAGGUCCUGGAGUGGUUGACAUGAAAGGGAGAGAAGAAUCGGUUUCUUUGACGUCAAGGCAACUCUCUGUUGCCGGUUCUCAAGCAUUAGCAGAGGAGCAUGGUAGGAUGUAUGCUGUACCUGGUGGUGUUCUGAAGAGGAAGGAGCCCGAGGGAGGAUGGGACAGUGAGAGCUUCAGGUUCAAGCAGUCGUGGCAUUAAGAUCAGGAAAAGCUGCAAUCUGGUGAUUUUGAAAGGGAAGCGCCAGGACAUCAUGCAUUAAAUUGCGUACCUCAAACUCUAGUGGUGGAUGGACUUUGGCCAACUCCUCAGACUCUCAGCUUCUGGUAUGCCCAUGCAGGGGUGGGUGGUAAGUGAUGUGUUCAGAGUCUCCGACCUCCACCUCUUCAGUGUAUCAGUGUAGUAGGGAUUCCCAUGGUUUGCAAGCACUUUGGUCAGCUAUAUUCUGUGGGUGGAUGCAGAUGAGUUUUCCCUCUGUAGAUAUUUAACUGUUGGAAAGCUUGAAAUCUUUGAUGCCCAGGGACGGGGGGGAUAAAUCAAUGUUAUCCUUGUCCAAAUUAUUGACAUUGGAGGUCGAGUUCCAGACUGAAUCAAAUGGAAAGCUUUCUUUGUGCUUUGCUGUUAAUUAUCUUUCUUUGAUCCCCGUGUUCUUGGCAUUUCUGUGUCCUCCUUUUGCCCAUUACAUAUGUAUACAGGGGUUGGCACCAAAUUUUGGUACUAAUGCUUUCAUCAGGCAAGUUUUAGUUGUUGUGGCUGCCAUUGUACCAUAAAUUGAAUCAUUCUAACUUUAGCUGUAGUCUCAUUCACAGAUGAUAGAACUCUUGUUAAAGAUGAUAUUUUCAUUGGUGGUGGUGA